GGCCGCCGCGGCUCCAGCCAAAGCUGCAGUCGGGGCCGGGGCCGUUCUGUGUUCCUGUAUUUGCUUUUCCCGCGAGUGGGGGUGCCCCUGCCUCUGUGGGCACACCUGUGCCUUCCUGUGCACCUGCCCAGCUCGUGAGCACCUGUCUGCGUGCGCCCGGCGCUCCUGUGUCUCUGUGCGCUCGCGAGGCUAGGCCCACACAGGUCCUCUGCCCCAUCGCGGGUGCGGGUGAGGGGCUCGGAGUCCUACCGGGAAGAGGCCAGAAGGGAGCGCAUCCUGGAGAAGCCCACCCGCGGCCCAAACCCAGCCGGACUUCUGGGAACCGCACCGGCCCCAGAGACCGCAGGUGCCGAGACACCCUGAGGCCGAGAGAGGUCCAGCGAGGCCCGGAGAGGGGACCAGAACUGGAGCAGGGGGAGGGGGCGCAGUCUGGAGCCGCCCUCCCGCCCCCUCAGGUGGAGCGCGCAGGCGCAGUCUCCGCGUGCGCGCCUCGCCGGCGCCUCCAUCCCGGAUCCUUGCUGCAGCGUCAGCGCCGCCGCCCGUGCCUUUCCUCUUCCUCCUCCUCCUCCUUGGCAUCCGCCUCCUCUUCCUCCUGCGUCCUCCCCCGCUGCCUCCGCUGCUCCCGACGCGGAGCCCGGAGCCCGCGCCGAGCCCCUGGCCUCGCGGUGCCAUGCUGCCCCGGCGGCGGCGCUGAAGGAUGGCGACGCCGCUGCCUCCGCCCUCCCCGCGGCACCUGCGGCUGCUGCGGCUGCUGCUCUCCGGCCUCGUCCUCGGCGCCGCCCUGCGUGGAGCCGCCGCCGGCCACCCGGAUGUAGCUGCCUGUCCCGGGAGCCUGGACUGUGCCCUGAAGAGGCGGGCAAGGUGUCCUCCUGGUGCACAUGCCUGUGGGCCCUGCCUUCAGCCCUUCCAGGAGGACCAGCAAGGGCUCUGUGUGCCCAGGAUGCGCCGGCCUCCAGGCGGGGGCCGGCCCCAGCCCAGACUGGAAGAUGAGAUUGACUUCCUGGCCCAGGAGCUUGCCCGGAAGGAGUCUGGACACUCAACUCCGCCCCUACCCAAGGCCCGACAGCGGCUCCCGGAGCCUGCCACCCUGGGCUUCUCGGCACGGGGGCAGGGGCUGGAGCUGGGCCUCCCCUCCACUCCAGGAACCCCCACGCCCACGCCCCACACCUCCCUGGGCUCCCCUGUGUCAUCCGACCCGGUGCACAUGUCGCCCCUGGAGCCCCGGGGAGGGCAAGGCGACGGCCUCGCCCUUGUGCUGAUCCUGGCGUUCUGUGUAGCUGGUGCAGCCGCCCUCUCCGUAGCCUCCCUCUGCUGGUGCAGGCUGCAGCGUGAGAUCCGCCUGACUCAGAAGGCCGACUACGCCACUGCGAAGGCCCCUGGCUCACCUGCAGCUCCCCGGAUCUCGCCUGGGGACCAGCGGCUGGCACACAGCGCGGAGAUGUACCACUACCAGCACCAACGGCAGCAGAUGCUGUGCCUGGAGCGGGCUGAGGUGGGCUGAGUGCCCACUUCCAGACUGGGCCACUGGCACCUCGAGGGCGUGGGGAGGACCCAGCGAUCCCCCCCCACCCAGGCAUAAAGAGCCACCCAAGGAGCUGGAUACGGCCUCCUCGGAUGAGGAGAAUGAGGACGGAGACUUCACGGUGUACGAGUGCCCGGGCCUGGCCCCGACCGGGGAAAUGGAGGUGCGCAACCCUCUGUUCGACCACGCCGCACUGUCCGCGCCCCUGCCGGCCCCCAGCUCACCGCCUGCACUGCCAUGACCUGGAGGCAGACAGACGCCCACCUGCUCCCCGACCUCAAGGCCCCCGGGGAGGGGCAGGGCCUGGAGCUUCCCACUAAAAACAUGUUUUGAUGCUGUGUGCUUUUGGCUGGGCCUCGGGCUCCAGGCCCUGGGACCCCUUGCCAGGGAGACCCCCGAACCUUUGUGCCAGGACACCUCCUGAUCCCCUGCACCUCUCCUGUUCGGUUUAGACCCCCAAACUGGAGGGGGCAUGGAGAACCGUAGAGCGCAGGAACGGGUGGGGAAUUCUAGAGACAAAAGCCAAUUAAAGUCCAUUUCAGACCUGCGGCUUCUG